ensembl:lncRNA
CAGCCUCUCUGCGCACGGCCCGCUGCAGCCGUCUUUAAUCUGGAGUACAGUCUUCUGCUUCUGCCUGGAGGCUGAGGUGUCAGUGUGGCCAUUUUGCACCAGGAACUGUGGUCUGACCUGCUGAGUGAGGCUUCUGCCUAUGACCCCCUGUGAACAAGUAACACCAGACUGAGCACAAAGGAAGAAAACAAAGGCUCCUCUGUCCGUGGGAUUCUCCAGGCAAGAAUACUGGAGUGGGUUGCCAUGCCCUCCUCCAGGGGAUCUUCCCCAGGGAUCGAACCCAAGUCUCUUAUGUCUCCUGCAUUGACAGGUGAGUUCUUUACCACUAGCACCACCUGGGAAGCCCAAAUAUUGCAUGGCAGCAUACUUAUACAAGAAAUGACUCAUUGUUUAUCUGAAAUUCAGAUUAGCUGGGCAUCUCGUGUUUUUCUGGCAAUCCUAACGUAGGACACAUGUUGCCCCUUAGGCUGCUCAGUUAUGGCUAGAGGGGUAGGGUAUGGCAGCUGCUGGGGGCACUGCGCCUGUGGUGGAAGGAAUAGCUCAGAAAGAGAGGGUCCAAGCAGAUGCCCUAUGCUGGGGGAAUGCUCCCAGGCUGUGGGGUGCUCAGGAGGCCUAGCCUUGAGUGGUGGAGUCUCAGCAGGAGAGAGCAACUCAGACUCAGGGAAGCUGGGAGGAGAGAGUUCCUGGAAAUCUUGGUCUCAGGCUCCCAGACCCAGGCUCAGCGCAGAAGUCUAAGCCUCGAAGGAAGAAGGGCACCGUCCAAGGUGGGAGUGGAAGUGUGGGCUGGCUGCUAGGAGGUCGCAGGUGCAGGCCGGGUCCAGGGAAGCAGGCAGAUCCGCUCGUGGCUUGGGCCCAGGGCACAGGUAAGAGCAGGCACGGGGACAGUGCUGUCCUGUCCGCUUCCCCGGCUGCUCUGGGGAGGACGAGGACCGCUGCUCCGCACAUCCAGAUGCUGCCCAGCUCUGAGCAGAAGCUCAUUUGGUUUUGCUGCCUAAGUAGAUUGGACUUUAGUUUCCUAAAGUGGGGUAGGGAUGUCAGAACUGGACACGUGGCAGAUCCCAGAAUGAGGCUCUGAAGCUUCAUUUGUCCUCAGGGGAGCAUGGGUCCUGGAGUCCAGGGCGGGGCCCAGCUGGGGUGGGUGUAUCUGUCACAGUCCCCACGAGAGGGCUGCAGUGGCUGGGAGCGCCCUGGGGUCCUUAGAGAUGUCUCACAUGUACAGAUGGGGACACCGAGGCGCACAUUUACAUGUGGCUCUGAGCAGUGAGUCACCUGUGAAAGGUCACAAUCAGGGCUCUAAUUCACGUUUGAGGGCCUCUGACCAGUGCUCACCCUGAAGUAUUGGGCUACAAUGCUGUAUUUGCACAAACUCAGGGGAGGCUUCACUGCAG